rnacentral:rRNA from 1 species
GAAAAGAACUUUGAAGAGAGAGUUCAAUAGUACGUGAAACCGUUUAGAGGUAAACGGACAGGGCCGCAAAGUUCGCCGUUCGAAUUCAGCUUACUAGCCAUUGGCGAGGUCGGCCCGGUCAUCCUAUCGGAGACUGGUCGAUCGCGCGGGCGACUGGCGGUGGGCGCAUUUUCGAGCGGCGGAGCGCCACGACCGUUUCGGCGGCGGUCAGAACCUCCCGAAGAAGGUGCCCGAUUGCCUAUCGGCGUCGGUGUUAUAGAUUCGGGGUUGAGCGUGUCCCGUCGUCGGAGCGAGGAAGACUUUGCGCGAUCUGCGUCGUAAGUCGAGUCUGCGUCGGUGGCCAAAUUGCACGCACUGUCGUCAGUGCGCGCUAACCGCAUCGGUCUAGGCUCGGCCCUCUCGGCGUAGGUUCGGAGUCUGUGGCGAAUCGGUCGGUAGCCUGUCCGACCCGUCUUGAAACACGGACCAAGGAGUCUAACAUGUGCGCGAGUCGUAGGGCUAUACGAAACCCGAAGGCGUAAUGAAAGUAAAGAUCUGUUUCGCGACAGAUUCGGGUAGGAUCUCGCCGUUAGCGAUAGCGGCGGGCGCACUACCGGCCCGUUUCAGCCGCGUCGUCGGCGAGGCGGAGCUAGAGCGCACACGUUGG